CCUACGGGUGGCAGCAGUAGGGAAUAUUGCUCAAUGGGGGAAACCCUGAAGCAGCAACGCCGCGUGGAGGAUUACGGUUUUCUGAUUUUAAACUCCUUUUUUUAGAGAAGAUAAUGACGGUAUCUAACGAAUAAGCACCGGCUAACUCCGUGCCAGCAGCCGCGGUAAUACGGAGGGUGCAAGCGUUACUCGGAAUCACUGGGCGGAAAGAGCGCGUAGGCGGGAUAGCAAGUCAGAUGUGAAAUCCUAUGGCUUAACCAUAGAACUGCAUUUGAAACUGUUAUUCUAGAGUAUGGGAGAGGUAGGUGGAAUGCUUGGUGUAGGGGUAAAAUCCGUAGAGAUCAAGAGGAAUACUCAUUGCGAAGGCGACCUGCUAGAACAUAACUGACGCUGAUGCGCGAAAGCGUGGGGAGCAAACAGGAUUAGAUACCCUUGUAGUC
rnacentral:rRNA from 1 species